ACCAUCCUUUUCUUGGGGUUGCGCUACUGUCCAAUGAACACAGAGUGAGGGCAGUACUGCUAACGCCUAAACAACACACUCGCAUCAACUGAAGCUCUGCUUUACGUUGGUGCAAUUUUUGGAAAA
ensembl:snRNA